rnacentral:pre_miRNA from 1 species
ACUCGAGGGAGGGGGUCCCUCAGUCCAAAUUGCGAGAGGGUGCAGGCCAGGCUGAGGGACCCCAUUGGUGAAGA